ACCUCGGUGGUGUAGUGGUAGCACACGAGCCCGGUAUGGAUGAAUUGCUGGUUCGACUCCCGUCUGAGGUU